GUGUCAGUGCAGAUUCUUUCACUUGAUGGAUUAUUGGAUUCUUUUCAGGGAUCGGAAUUCCUUUUAAACCAUUAAUCACCAUCGUCGUAGAAUGACCGUUACCCACGGGCAAUCUGUAAUUAAUUACAAAUGAACUAGCCUCCAGGGGCCAUCUAUAUGGAACAAUGCAGGAUCCCCGCGUAAAGUUCUUCAAUGCAUUUAUUUUAUGGAAAGAUUUAUGGGAAACCAGCCCCAUAGAAAAUAGUUACAUCGGGUUUAUAAAACACUAUAUAAUCUAAAAGUACAGGAAAUCUUACACUAUUAUGUGUUCUAAACUAUGAGGAUCAAAGAUUUAACGCACGACGCGCGUCGUCUGUGGCGUUGUGACGUAAUCGCCCGACACUCGCUCUUCAUGUCUGCUCGCACCCUCAGUGACGUGUCGAAGUUUCAUUCAUGUUUUUUUGGUUUACGUUAGAAGAUGAAGUUAAGUUUUCAAUAAAUCACCCCUUAGGACCUGCAUGAAUAAAAUGAAAGAGUUGGC